GACGAACGCUGGCGGCUGCCUAACACAUGCAAGUCGAACGGGGUCAGCCCUUCGGGACUGACUUAGUGGCGAACGGGUGAGUAACGCGUGAGGAACCUGCCUCUCAGUGGGGGACAACAGUUAGAAAUGACUGCUAAUACCGCAUAAGCGCACAGUACCGCAUGGUACAGUGUGAAAAACUCCGGUGGUAUACGAUGGAUCCGCGUCUGAUUAGGUAGUUGGUGGGGUAACGGCCCACCAAGCCGACGAUCAGUAGCCGGCCUGAGAGGGUGAACGGCCACAUUGGGACUGAGACACGGCCCAGACUCCUACGGGAGGCAGCAGUGGGGGAUAUUGCACAAUGGAGGAAACUCUGAUGCAGCAACGCCGCGUGAGGGAAGAAGGUUUUCGGAUUGUAAACCUCUGUUUUUAGUGAAGAAAAAAAUGACGGUAGCUAAAGAGGAAGCCACGGCUAACUACGUG
rnacentral:rRNA from 1 species